GGCUCCAUGACACAAUGGAUAGUGUAUUGGACUUCUAGAGGGUGAAGGGAUUCAAAAGUUCUGGGUUCAAGUCCCAGCAGAGUCA
rfam:Alligator mississippiensis ScZkoYb_22, whole genome shotgun sequence.